rnacentral:tRNA from 1 species
GGUGGAAUGGCUGAGAAUAGGCAAUAAAUUGUAAAUUUAUUUACGAAAUUAAAAUUUCUUCC